rnacentral:rRNA from 1 species
GUAAUCUGCCUCCGAAUCGGGGAUAACAUUGCGAAAGCGAUGCUAAUACCGGAUAAAAUCUGGUUGGCUUCGGUGAACCGGAUCAAAGGUGGUCUCUUUAUAAAAGCUACCGCUUGGAGAUGAGCUCGCGUACCAUUAGCUAGUUGGUGAGGUAAAGGCUCACCAAGGCGACGAUGGUUAGCUGGUCUGAGAGGAUGAUCAGCCACACCGGAACUGGAACACGGUCCGGACUCCUACGGGAGGCAGCAGUGAGGAAUUUUGCGCAAUGGGGGAAACCCUGACGCAGCAACGCCGCGUGAGUGAUGAAGGCUUUCGGGUCGUAAAGCUCUGUCAGGUGGGAAGAACCCACCAAGUGUUAAGACCACUUGGUGCUGACGGUACCACCGAAGGAAGCACCGGCUAACUCCGUGCCAGCAGCCGCGGUGAUACGGAGGAUGCAAGCGUUAUCCGGAUUUAUUGGGUUUAAAGGGUGCGUAGGCGGGCUUGUAAGUCAGUGGUGAAAUGCUGUGGCUUAACCAUAGAAUUGCCAUUGAAACUGCAAGUCUUGAGUACAGUUGAGGUGGGCGGAAUGAGUAAUGUAGCGGUGAAAUGCAUAGAUAUUACUCAGAACUCCGAUUGCGUAGGCAGCUUGCUAAACUGUAACUGACGCUGAUGCACGAAAGCGUGGGGAGCGAACAGGAUUAGAUACCCUGGUAGUCCACGCUGUAAACGAUGAGCACUGGUUGUUGGCAAUACACCGUCAGCGACUGAGCGAAAGUAUUAAGUGCUCCACCUGGGGAGUACGUCGGCAACGAUGAAACUCAAAGGAAUUGACGGGGGCCCGCACAAGCGGAGGAACAUGUGGUUUAAUUCGAUGAUACGCGAGGAACCUUACCUGGGCUUAAAUGUAGAGUGCAUUGCUUGGAAACAGGCAUUUUCUUCGGAACUCUUUACAAGGUGCUGCAUGGUUGUCGUCAGCUCGUGCCGUGAGGUGUCGGGUUAAGUCCCAUAACGAGCGCAACCCCUAUUGUUAGUUACCAGCACGUAAUGGUGGGGACUCUAGCAAGACUGCCGGUGUAAACCGUGAGGAAGGUGGGGAUGACGUCAAAUCAGCACGGCCCUUAUGUCCAGGGCUACACACGUGUUACAAUGGCAAGUACAAAGAGCAGCCACCUGGCGACAGGGCGCUAAUCUCAAAAGCUUGCCUCAGUUCGGAUCGAAGUCUGCAACUCGACUUCGUGAAGGUGGAUUCGCUAGUAAUCGCGCAUCAGCCAUGGCGCGGUGAAUACGUUCCCGGGCCUUGUACACACCGCCCGUCAAGCCAUG